UUCACAAAUGAUGAGGUCUCCUAAACCAAGGAUCAUGAUUAAUUCAAUUCUGUGCUCCUGGAAU
rnacentral:snoRNA from 1 species